rnacentral:lncRNA from 7 species
CGGCUCAGCCACAUAUUGCAUCGUAUCGUCAUGGGUUGAGCCGUUGAGGUAUGCACUCACGGAUCAUGUUUUGCAAAAUUUAUUCAAAAUCCUACCGAAGCACACGAUUUCAUCUGCAAUCCACACAUGCGUCGUCCAACGCAUCAGCUUCAGACGUGUUUUAGCAAUCCACACAUACGGACCCUUAAGAACUCGUACCAUGACAGGUCACUACCGGGAGGCGGGAGGCACGCAGGUCGCCCUACAGGCCUACACAUAUCGUUCUCCCUCUCUUUCACCCAUGACCCAUUUAUAAUCAUUUAUACUCCCAGAUUUGCUUCUCACCUUUUCUGUAUCAGAUCCAGCAAGUGCGUUAGACAUAACCUGGGGGCAGCAGAGGACUAGCCGGUAGCGUCAACAGGCUGGAUGGAGCAAACUUCCUCUUCUACUCCUCAUCUGUUGCCGCUCCAAUUCAUUCCAUGGAUGAUGCCCUCAUUGUGCUCGAUGAAAUGGGCACAUGGUAGAGCGGCGGCUGGCAGCUCCUACUCAUUCCAUGGAUGAUGCCCUCAAUGUGCUCGAUAACAGCCGGCUGCCUUGCUCCACUAUUUUAUGCUCAUUAGUAUGACAAACACUGAAACAGAGCCUGAGGCACACAACAAAACAGGAGCUAGCAGGAGUAAUACUUGUGCAAGGGAAAAUGAGGUUAGGCAACGCAAUUGAUGGUAUUAAGUCUUUUGGUUUAGUCUAAUACUUUAUAUUUUCUCUGCCUAUUCAAGUAGCCAUUUCUUUUCUGUGUACAUGAUUUCUAGUGCCGCCAGGCCUGCAAGCACAAUGCUGUUGGUAUUUUUGGCAUUAAUGGGUUUCUUUAGUUUGAGUGAAUGGUGUUGCAC